rnacentral:lncRNA from 1 species
UUUUUUCUCUGGCUUCUUCUAGAGAGUUCCUUCACCUACCUCUUUUCUCUCACUGUGUUCUUCGUCAUUUUUGCCUUCAAACCUACAUGUUCUCAUGGUAUCAGAGCUGGAUGAUCUUCGUAUCCUUCUCGGUUGCGUGUUAUCGAUCCUGUUCGAAGCUUUUGCUGAAGUUUUUUUUAUGGUUACCGGUGAGAGAUACUGUUUGGAGAUGUUUCAACGAAUGUUGAGCGGAUAAUC